GAGUUAAUCUCUGAUUCAACCUGCGAAGCAGAAGGUGGCGCUAAUUUGCACACUACACUGAUUCCUUACCGCUCUUUGGAAAAACACAGAAGAAGAAAAGUUUGAACAACGCAGCAAGGCGGGAAGCAGCAGACAGUAGGGUUGCAGAAACUACCUACGCAGCAGAAAUCAGGCUCACUGGACUUACUUUUCAGAUCAGUUUAUGCCUUUGCAUCUUGCUGUUUCAGUUUCAAGAAGUUAAGGAAGAUAACUGGAGAUGUGAUAACGAUACCAGAAGACAGAGAAGAAACUGCCCCUCAUUAGAAAGAUGAUGGAGACCACAUUUCCCCUACGCCGACAGACCAUAGUGAUGUCCUGCCCACCAAUGAACGACCUCAUGGACCUCUGGCCUGCUCUCAAAAUAGAGUCUGAGUUGUAUGCAGAGUUCCAGCGGAUUACAAAUCAGAACCUGCCCAACACGUGCUAUGCUGAGCUUGACCGCUAUCUUCCUCGACUGAUGACCUUAUUCAGAAGGCAUCAAAAACUGGGAAGACAGCAGAUGCUCUGGCUGAAA